rnacentral:rRNA from 1 species
UGAGCAAUCUGCCCUUCUCUUCGGAAUAAGCGUUGGAAACGACGUCUAAUGCCGAAUACGACCUCCUUUCGCAUGAUCGGAGGUGGAAAGCUCCGGCGGAGAAGGAUGAGCUCGCGGCCUAUCAGCUAGUUGGUGUAGGUAAUGGCCCACCAAGGCGACGACGGGUAGCCGGCCUGAGAGGGUGACCGGCCACACUGGGACUGAGACACGGCCCAGACCUCCGUACGGGAGGNAGCG